rnacentral:tRNA from 2 species
GCCCAAGUAGUUUAGUGGUAAAACGUAUUCUUGGUAAGAAUAAGACCGCGAGUUCGAUUCUCGCCUUGGGCUCAA